rnacentral:rRNA from 1 species
UACGAGGGGGGCAAGCGUUGUUCGGAAUUAUUGGGCGUAAAGGGUGCGUAGGCGGUCUGAUAAGUCAUCUGUGAAAUCUAUGGGCUCAACCCAUAGUCUGCAGGCGAAACUGUCGGGCUUGAGUAUGGGAGAGGUGAGUGGAAUUUACGGUGUAGCAGUGAAAUGCGUAGAUAUCGUAAGGAAGACCAGUGGCGAAGGCGAAUCUCUGGACAGUUACUGACACUGAGGCACGAAGGCCAGGGGAGCAAACGGG